rnacentral:rRNA from 1 species
GAUGAACGCUGGCGGCGUGCCUAAUACAUGCAAGUCGAACGAAACUUCUUUAUCACCGAGUGCUUGCACUCACCGAUAAAGAGUUGAGUGGCGAACGGGUGAGUAACACGUGGGCAACCUGCCCAAAAGAGGGGGAUAACACUUGGAAACAGGUGCUAAUACCGCAUAACCAUAGUUACCGCAUGGUAACUAUGUAAAAGGUGGCUAUACUACCGCUUUUGGAUGGGCCCGCGGCGCAUUAGCUAGUUGGUAGGGUAAAGGCUUACCAAGGCAAUGAUGCGUAGCCGAAUUGAGAGGUUGAUCGGCCACAUUGGGACUGAGACACGGCCCAAACUCCUACGGGAGGCAGCAGUAGGGAAUCUUCCACAAUGGGCGAAAGCCUGAUGGAGCAACGCCGCGUGGGUGAAGAAGGUCUUCGGGUCGUAAAACCCUGUUGUUAGAGAAGAAAGUGCGUGAGAGUAACUGUUCACGUUUCGACGGUAUCUAACCGGAAAGCCACGGCUAACUACGUG